rnacentral:lncRNA from 1 species
UCAGUAGAGAACAAAAUAAGGUUCUCUUACUCUGGAGCCCAAGCAAAGCAAUACCAAAUCUUCUGGUUGGUUCCUUUAACCUAUAUUUCUGAACUAAAUUGGGACUUAGACGUAAAACAUCACAAACCACACUAUAUGACUGGAAUCGAUCUAUGAUUUUACUCUCUGGUCUGGUGAUUCUUUCAAUUUAUUUUCACAGGGCUUGGCAUAAUCUGAGGGCUUAGCACUGCCAGUUCUAAUGGCACUUUGGUUCUUAUAGAUACAGCUUUACUGAAAAGAUUCAUGUGGUCCAAGGGUGAGCUUUGCAGCUGGUGGUGGGGUCACAGGACAUAGGCAUGUCUUCAAUGGCCAGAACCACAGAGAGAAAACAUCCAAGGGGAAUCCAUUUUUAAUUCAAGAAUAGGAAAGCAUGCAUUCAUGAGAAAGUCAUGUGAACACAUAUAUGCCUGUGCAAAUAUGUGUAUGUCUGUCCCCUUUCUUUAAUAUUGAUUUUUUUCGCUUAAUAUUAUACUUCUAUUUUUACAUAGGACUGGAGAAUUUUAAUAAACAAAAGUGUAUAUUUGGCUGUAGCAUGGAAAUAGAGAAUAUAUCAGAUAUCACAUUCACUAUAGAUAUCUUGGCUUAAAUACAAAUACAACACAAUGCCAAAUAUCUGGCCAAAAAUCAAUAAUAGCAGUCAAUUAGGCAAGCAUGUGGAACUAUUUGGAAAAAUUCAGAUAAUUGACUAAAAAUUCCAAUUUUCAUUCAGAUGCCUGUCACCACGCUUCUUAUCAUUUGAUGUUUUUCUCUCACUACUUAGAGUCACAAAUAUUUUACUCCUUCACACUCUAAGCAAUAACACGCCUACCAAAAAAAGCUGAAAUAAAAAUGUGAUGACUAG